GCAGGUGGAAUGUCCCAGCUUCGGGGAACACGUACGAUCGCGACUCGUUUUCGAACGAGGGUGCGAGACAUUUGGAUGUUCACAACCAAACCCCGGGGAAGGUCUGAGACACAGCAGUCAACCAAAUGCCCGUGAGGGCGCAUCCUCGUCAGAACUGGCGUUGCUGCCAGCAAACCGGCGAUGGACGUGGGUCACCAGAAACCUUUAGCAUCCAACGCGUUUCGAGACGCUUGGUACUCUAUAUUGCUAGUUGGAACGGGCUCACUUGCUGCGGGAGACCUAAGUGCAAUGCAGGGAGUGUCGACUCUUUUGGGGUCGGCAAAACUCAAUUCAGACUACUCUCCAUAUCUGC
rnacentral:RNase_P_RNA from 2 species